rnacentral:lncRNA from 1 species
GGGCAGAGCAGGGUGGGAGACUCCUUCUCCAGACAAAGGGGAGGGACAAAGGCUGGGAGGAGGGGGAGCAGGGGUGUCGCAAAAGACAAUUUAUUGCCCUUGUCUUACGGCUUCCCAAAUUGCUUACGGGAUAAUGGAGCUGCAGGGCCUGGAGCAGAAAGAUGAAAGACACAUGUGACUGGUCCCUAUCAGAUUGGACAGGGCAGAGAGAGGACAUUUCCGUCACCACAGAAUGUUCUUUUGCACGGCACUGGUCUAUAGCAGUGUUUCUCUACUCUGGCUGCUCACUGGAGUCCCCUGGAAGCUUUUAAAAAGUCCUGAUGCCUGUCUGGGACUCA